AAGGCCAACAAUUGAGUCCCCCUACCUCACCGGUCAGCUCAGCAGCCGCCCGAUUCGCGCCGCCCUCCCCGACUUCCGUCGCCGUUCGCCGCCGCAGAGCGCAUACACGGCGGCGCGCCCUGAGUGGAUGUGGUGGGAGGAGGUGAGGAGGAGGGAACGCGGGGAGCUGCGCGCGCGGCGCUUCGAGGCCCUCGCCCGCUCGCGCCGCGCCGCCUCGCUCGCGCUCUCCAACCGCAAGGAGAUCGCGACCCCGCACCUCGGCGCCGUCAACUCCCUCCAGGUUGAUUUGACAGAGGGGAGGUACCUGCUCUCGGGGGCGUCGGACGGGUCGGCCGCCGUCUUCGAUCUGAAGGACGCGACGGAGUACGAGGCCGGGUUCAUCGCCAAGCACAGGAGCAUUCUGCUCGUGGACAGGCAGCAUCAGCAUGGCCACAAGUUCACCGUCUCCAAGGCCAUCUGGUAUCCUGUGGACACCGGGCUGUUCGUCACGGCGUCCUUUGAUAACUAUGUCAAAGUGUGGGAUACCAAUUCCACUCAAGUGGUCAUGGAUUUUAAGAUGCCCGGAAAAGUGUACAGUGCUGCAAUGUCUCCAAUUGCAACAACGCAUAUGCUCAUCGCUACCGGAAGCGCAGACGUUCAGAUCCGUUUGUGUGAUAUUGCUUCCGGAGCCUUUACUCACACGUUGUCCGGUCAUCAUGAUGGUAUCAUGUCUUUGGAGUGGUCUACCUCAAGCGAGUGGAUCCUAAUGAGUGGUGGCUGCGACGGGGCGAUACGUUUUUGGGACAUAAGACGAGCUGGAUGCUUCCUUAUCCUUGAUCAGUUACGGUCUCAGCUAGGAAGACGGCCUCCCAUUAUUGAUAGCACCACGGACAACCAGCAUCAGAAGAACUUAGGACGUUCAUCUUCAUCAAAGAGUUACUCGGUUCAGCAGAGGACAGGCAAUCAUAAGAAGCAGUCCAAAGGACUACGCAAAAGUCUAACCAUGGUACGUGGACAUACGCAACAGAAAGUGCAUCCCGGUAUGUCAUCCAGUCAAAAUCGUAAAACAGCUCAUUAUGGUGCUGUUACAGGAUUAAGAACAACAACAGAUGGGAUGCACCUUCUUAGCUCAGGAUCUGAUUCUCGUUUAAGACUCUGGGAUAUCGAUUCAGGCUGCAAUACUUUGGUCAAUUUUGAAGCCAUGCGAUUGCAAACUAGCAAGCCACUGCAAUUAGCUGUCACUGAUGAUCCAUCACUUGUUUUCAUUCCAUGCAUGUCAAGCAUCAAGGCAUACAAUACAUGGUCUGGUACGACAUUUCAAACAUUCCGUGGGCAUUAUGACCAUGUAAAUUGCUGCUACUAUAACUCACAAGACCAAGAACUCUAUACUGGUAGCAAUGAUCGACAAAUUCUUGUGUGGUCUCCAUCGACUCCUGCUUUGACUGAAAUGGAAGACGAUGACAAGCGGCAAGAGGGUUUUGCAGCUGAUGAGGAUAACUGGAGUGACUGAAGUUGUGAGUUUUUUAAGGGAGAUAACUUGUGAGUUGAUCAUGUGUAUAUACGAGGUUACUAACAAUAUUGACACGAGUGAUGCCGAAAUAAAGUCAGGGUUCUUGUUAGGUAUUACACGAACCAGUAAUUACUUGUGUUUGGCUACUACUCCGAGAGGAUGUUGUACAUUAGGAUUUGAAUUUUUUGUAGUUCAUUGAAACUUAUGUAUUCAGGCAUCAUAAUAAAAAGAGGAGUAUUAUGUAUGGUUCACCC
rnacentral:rRNA from 1 species